rnacentral:rRNA from 1 species
UACAGAGGUCUCAAGCGUUGUUCGGAUUCAUUGGGCGUAAAGGGUGCGUAGGCGGCGCGGUAAGUCGGGUGUGAAAUCUCGGAGCUUAACUCCGAAACUGCAUUCGAUACUGCCGUGCUUGAGGACUGGAGAGGAGACUGGAAUUUACGGUGUAGCGGUGAAAUGCGUAGAUAUCGUAAGGAAGACCAGUGGCGAAGGCGGGUCUCUGGACAGUUCCUGACGCUGGAGGAGCGAAAAGCGUGGGGAGCGAACAGG